rnacentral:tRNA from 3 species
GCCGAAGUGGUGGAAUGGCAGACGCGGCGGACUCAAAAUCCGCUGAGGGAUGACCUCGUGCGGGUUCAAGUCCCGCCUUCGGCACCA